UACGUAGGGAGCGAGCGUUGUCCGGAUUCAUUGGGCGUAAAGAGCUCGUAGGCGGCUUGGCAAGUCGGGUGUGAAAACUCCAGGCUCAACCUGGAGACGCCACCCGAUACUGCCAUGGCUAGAGUCCGGUAGGGGACCACGGAAUUCCUGGUGUAGCGGUGAAAUGCGCAGAUAUCAGGAGGAACACCGGUGGCGAAGGCGAAUCUCUGGACAGUUACUGACACUGAGGCACGAAGGCCAGGGGAGCAAACGGG
rnacentral:rRNA from 1 species